rnacentral:rRNA from 1 species
GACGAACGCUGGCGGCGUGCCUAAUACAUGCAAGUCGAGCGAAGUUUUUCUGGUGCUUGCACUAGAAAAACUUAGCGGCGAACGGGUGAGUAACACGUAAAGAACCUGCCUUAUAGACUGGGACAACUAUUGGAAACGAUAGCUAAUACCGGAUAACAGCAUUAACUGCAUGGUUGAUGUUUGAAAGUUGGUUUUGCUAACACUAUGAGAUGGCUUUGCGGUGCAUUAGCUAGUUGGUGGGGUAAAGGCCUACCAAGGCGACGAUGCAUAGCCGACCUGAGAGGGUGAUCGGCCACACUGGGACUGAGACACGGCCCAGACUCCUACGGGAGGCAGCAGUAGGGAAUCUUCCGCAAUGGGCGAAAGCCUGACGGAGCAACGCCGCGUGAGUGAAGAAGGAUUUCGGUUCGUAAAGCUCUGUUGUUAGGGAAGAAUGAUUGUGUAGUAACUAUACACAGUAGAGACGGUACCUAACCAGAAAGCCACGGCUAACUACGUGCCAGCAGCCGCGGUAAUACGUAGGUGGCAAGCGUUGUCCGGAAUUAUUGGGCGUAAAGCGCGCGCAGGUGGUUUAAUAAGUCUGAUGUGAAAGCCCACGGCUCAACCGUGGAGGGUCAUUGGAAACUGUUAAACUUGAGUGCAGGAGAGAAAAGUGGAAUUCCUAGUGUAGCGGUGAAAUGCGUAGAGAUUAGGAGGAACACCAGUGGCGAAGGCGGCUUUUUGGCCUGUAACUGACACUGAGGCGCGAAAGCGUGGGGAGCAAACAGG